rnacentral:rRNA from 1 species
UACGGGGGGGGCAAGCGUUGUUCGGAAUUACUGGGCGUAAAGGGCGCGUAGGCGGCCUUCUAAGUCAGACGUGAAAUCCCUCGGCUCAACCGAGGAACUGCGUCUGAUACUGGAAGGCUUGAAUCCGGGAGAGGGAUGUGGAAUUCCAGGUGUAGCGGUGAAAUGCGUAGAUAUCUGGAGGAACACCGGUGGCGAAGGCGGCAUCCUGGACCGGUAUUGACGCUGAGGCGCGAAAGCUAGGGGGGCAAACGGG